AGAGUUUGAUCCUGGCUCAGAUUGAACGCUGGCGGAAUGCUUUACACAUGCAAGUCGAACGGCAGCACGGGGGCUUGCUCCUGGUGGCGAGUGGCGAACGGGUGAGUAAUGCGUCGGAACGUACCGAGUAAUGGGGGAUAACGCACCGAAAGGUGUGCUAAUACCGCAUACGCCCUGAGGGGGAAAGCAGGGGAUCGCAAGACCUUGCGUUAUUCGAGCGGCCGACGUCUGAUUAGCUAGUUGGUGGGGUAAAGGCCUACCAAGGCGACGAUCAGUAGCGGGUCUGAGAGGAUGAUCCGCCACACUGGAACUGAGACACGGUCCAGACUCCUACGGGAGGCAGCAGUGGGGAAUUUUGGACAAUGGGGGAAACCCUGAUCCAGCCAUUCCGCGUGAGUGAAGAAGGCCUUCGGGUUGUAAAGCUCUUUCAGCUGGAACGAAACGGUACGCUCUAACAUAGCGUGCUAAUGACGGUACCAGCAGAAGAAGCACCGGCUAACUACGUGCCAGCAGCCGCGGUAAUACGUAGGGUGCGAGCGUUAAUCGGAAUUACUGGGCGUAAAGCGUGCGCCAGGCGGAUUGUUAAGCAAGACGUGAAAUCCCCGGGCUUAACCUGGGAAUGGCGUUUUGAACUGGCAGUCUAGAGUGUGUCAGAGGGGGGUAGAAUUCCACGUGUAGCAGUGAAAUGCGUAGAGAUGUGGAGGAAUACCAAUGGCGAAGGCAGCCCCCUGGGAUAACACUGACGCUCAUGUACGAAAGCGUGGGUAGCAAACAGGAUUAGAUACCCUGGUAGUCCACGC
rnacentral:rRNA from 1 species